ensembl:piRNA 21ur-10418 ncRNA
UAUUGCAUAACGGCUUGCAUU